GACGAACGCUGGCGGCGUGCCUAAUACAUGCAAGUAGAACGCAGUUGCGAACGGGUGAGUAACGCGUAGGUAACUGCCUCGUAGCGGGGGGUAAAUUUUGGAAACCGUAACUAAUACCCGCAUCUUUGACAUGGACCUGCGUUGUAUUAAGUAGUUGGUUGGGUAAAGGCUCACCAAGGCGACGAUCCAGAGCCGGCCUGAGAGGGAGAUCGGCCACAAUUGGACUGAGACACCGGCCAGACUCCCGAGGGGGGGAGCAGGAGGGGAUUAUUGGAAAUGGACGGAAGUCUGAACGAGCAACGGCGCGGGAGUGAAGAAGGGUUUCGGAGCGGAAAGCUCUGUUGUUAGAGAAGCGGUACCUAACCAGAAAGCGACGGCUAACUACGUGCCAGCAGCCGCGGUAAUAC
rnacentral:rRNA from 1 species